rnacentral:rRNA from 1 species
AUUGAACGCUGGCGGCAGGCCUAACACAUGCAAGUCGAGCGAGCGGCGGACGGGUGAGUAAUGUUUGGGAAACUGCCUGUUGGAGGGGGAUAACUACUGGAAACGGUAGCUAAUACCGCAUACCAUCAGAUGUGCCCAGAUGGGAUUAGCUGGUAUGUGGGGUAACGGCUCACCUAGGCGCCGCUCCCUAGCUGGUCUGUGAGGAUGACCAGCCACACUGGAACUGAGGCACGGUCCAGACUCCUACGGGAGGCAGCAGUGGGGAGUAUUGCACAAUGGGGGCAAGCCUGAUGCAGCCAUGCCGCGUGUGGGGAGAAGGCCGUCGGGUUGUAAAGCACUUUCAGCGGGGGGACGUUACCCGCAGAAGAAGCACCGGCUAACUCCGUGCCAGCAGCCGCGGUAAUAC